UGGGGAAUUUUGGACAAUGGGCGAAAGCCUGAUCCAGCAAUGCCGCGUGUGUGAAGAGGGCCUUCGGGUUGUAAAGCACUUUUGUCCGGAAAGAAAUCCUUGGCUCUAAUACAGUCGGGGGAUGACGGUACCGGAAGAAUAAGCACCGGCUAACUACGUGCCAGCAGCCGCGGUAAUACGUAGGGUGCAAGCGUUAAUCGGAAUUACUGGGCGUAAAGCGUGCGCAGGCGGUUUGCUAAGACCGAUGUGAAAUCCCCGGGCUCAACCUGGGAACUGCAUUGGUGACUGGCAGGCUAGAGUAUGGCAGAGGGGGGUAGAAUUCCACGUGUAGCAGUGAAAUGCGUAGAGAUGUGGAGGAAUACCGAUGGCGAAGGCAGCCCCCUGGGCCAAUACUGACGCUCAUGCACGAAAGCGUGGGGAGCAAAACAGGAUUAGAUACCCUGGUAGUCCACGCCCUAAACGAUGUCAACUAGUUGUUGGGGAUUCAUUUCCUUAGUAACGUAGCUAACGCGUGAAGUUGACCGCCUGGGGGGUACGGUCGCAAGAUUAAAACUCAAAGGAAUUGACGGGGUCAUA
rnacentral:rRNA from 1 species